AAAGUCGUAACAAGGUUUCCGUAGGUGAACCUGCGGAAGGAUCAUUAUUGAAUAAACUUGGCUUGCUGUCGCUGGCCUCUCCGGAGGCAUGUGCACGCUUGUCCAUCUUUAUAUCUCCACCUGUGCACCUUAUGUAGAACUGGAAACAUCUUUCUGAGGCAACUCGGGAUUGGGGAUUGCUGUGUGUCUUCACCGACAUCGGCUUUCCUUGCGUUUCUCAGAACUAUGUUUUUCACAUACCCCAUUGAAAUGUAACAGAAUGUAUCACUAGGUCUUUGUACCUAUAAACAAAUAUACAACUUUCAGCAACGGAUCUCUUGGCUCUC
rnacentral:misc_RNA from 1 species